UGUGUGUGUGUGUGUGUGUGUGUGUGUGUGUGUGUGUGUGUGUGUUGUGUGUGUGUGUGUGUGUGUGUGUGUGUGUGUGUGUGUGUGUGUGUGUGUGUGUGUGUGUGUGUGUGUGCGUGCGUGCGUGCGUGCGUGCGUGCGUGUGUGUGUGUGUGUGUGUGUGCGUGCGUGCGUGUGUGCGUGCGUGCGUGCGCGUGUGUGUGUGUGUGUAAGUACAAUGCAGUAGCAAACGAUAUUGAGGGUAGCAAUGAGGAGGAGGAUGAGGAGGAACUAACGCCGGAAAAGAAGAGGCAGCUCAUUGUUCGGGUUGCUAAGAGACAUCAGGGAGAUGCCAAUCUGCUGCAAUCACUUGGUUGUGAGAUGGCUACAAUGAUGUUUGUUGAUAAAAAGGUUUUAAGUGUGGGAACCACAGAUGGGAAAAAUUUCUUCAAUCUCACCCUGCAAUCCUGUCAUCCUUCAGCUCCUACUUUCUGUAUGAUGACCUGUCCAAAAAACAAUUUGCUACCCCAGCCACUGCAGCCUCGGCAAGUACAACCAGUCUCAACACAAAUUCCAGCUCAUUCAAUGUUACCUCAACAAACACAAACCCAAUCAACACCACCUCAUCUACUACAUCCAAAGCUGUUAUUUCCACUGUGAAGAAAUCAACCACUAAAACUACAACCAAAGCAACACCUUCUGGAAUCUUGUCCAAUCAAGCUAUUUCUAACACUGAUACCGUCAGUACGAUUUUUAUGAAAGGCAGAGAUGGAAGUAUUGUUGCGACAGGUACAGUGCUUCCUGGUGUACAUAAAACCAUUCAUGGUCGUCCUUGCCAAAAAGAUU